rnacentral:lncRNA from 1 species
CAUUCUACCAACCCAACAGAUGUUUCUACUACAGUGAAUAUUAACCAAUGAGGUGGGUCUUUCCACAUUCUACCAACACAACAGAUGUUUCUACUACAGUGAAUAUUAACCAAUGAGGUGGGUCUUUCCACAUUCUACCAACACAACAGAUGUUAAUACUACAGUGAAUAUUAACCAAUGCGGUGGGUCUUUCCACAUUCUACCAACCCAACAGAUGUUUCUACUACAGUGAAUAUUAACCAAUGAGGUGGGUCUUUCCACAUUCUACCAACACAACAGAUGUUUCUACUACAGUGAAUAUUAACCAAUGAGGUGGGUCUUUCCACAUUCUACCAACACAACAGAUGUUUCUACUACAGUGAAUAUUAAUCAAUGAGGUGGGUCUUUCCACAUUCUUCCAACCCAACAGAUGUUAAUACUACAGUGAAUAUUAACCAAUGAGGUGGGUCUUUCCACAUUCUACCAACCCAACAGAUGUUUCUACAACAGUGAAUAUUAACCAAUGAGGUGGGUCUUUCCACAUUCUACCAACACAACAGAUGUUAAUACUACAUUGAAUUUUAAGCAAUGAGCCCUUCGUACAUCAGCUGAUAUUCUCAAAGUGCUGUACAGAAACCCAGCCUAAAACCCCAAACAGCAAGCAAAGCAUGUGAAAGAAGCACGGUGG